GCAGUAUCUCGUUAGGCGAGGCUCCUAUACAAACAUAGGUUGCUGAUCUGACGACGUCGAGAGACGCCCAAGAUCAGGAUAGGAUUAUAUCGAGUCAAGGUGUGUAUCCCCAUGUAACUUCCUGCUACUUUCAGGAUACGUUGUAUAUUGCUAAAACUGAGACGUUGAGAUAGCUU
rnacentral:sRNA from 1 species